rnacentral:rRNA from 1 species
AUGGAUUCCAUCUUAGCUAACGGUACCUGGGAGAUCACUGACCGUCCAUAUGGGUGCAAAGCUGUAGGAUGUAAGUGGGUGUUCAAGAAGAAGCUUAGACCUGAUGGUACGAUUGAAAAGUACAAGGCACGGCUUGUGGCCAAGGGUUAUACCCAGAAAGAAGGUGAAGACUUCUUUGAUACUUACUCACCCGUGGCUAGACUGACCACAAUUCGGGUGCUACUAUCACUGGCUGCCUCACAUGGUCUUCUCGUCCAUCAAAUGGACGUUAAGACGGCAUUCCUUAAUGGAGAGUUGAAGGAGGAAAUUUACAUGGAUCAGCCAGAUGGUUUUGUAGUACCUGGUCAGGAAGGAAAGGUGUGCAAGUUAUUAAAGUCUUUAUAUGGCCUUAAACAAGCUCCUAAGGAGUGGCAUGAGAAGUUCGAAAGAACAUUAACUGCUGCCGGCUUUGUAGUAAACGAUGGUGACAAGUGCGUGUACUAUCGCUAUGGUGGGGGCAAAGGAGUUAUUCGUUGUCUGUAUGUCGACGACAUAUUGAUCUUUGGAACCAAACUUGAUUUAAUCAAGGAGGUUAAGGAUUUCUUAUCUCGCUGUUUUGAGAUGAAGGAUCUAGGAGUAGUUGGUGUUAUCUUAAACAUCAAGCUGUUGAGAGAUGAGAAUGGUGGGAUCACACUGCUUCAGUCUCAUUAUGUGGAAAAGGUCUUGAGUCGUUUUGGGUAUAGCGACUGCACGCCUUCUCCAACUCCAUAUGAUGCUAGUGUGUUGCUUCGAAAGAAUCGACGGAUUGCUAGAGAUCAACUGAGGUAUUCUCAGAUUAUUGGCUCGCUUAUGUAUUUGGCGAGUGCCACGAGGCCUGACAUCUCUUUUGCUAUGAGCAAGCUGAGUUGGUUUGUGUCAAAACCGGGAGAUGAUCAUUGGCAUGCGCUUGAGAGAGUUAUGCGCUAUUUGAAAGGCACCGCGAGCUAUGGGAUUCACUACACCGGGUAUCCAAGGGUACUGGAGGGUUAUAGUGACUCAAACUGGAUAUCUGAUGCUGAUGAGAUUAAGGCCACAAGUGGUUAUGUUUUUACACUUGGUGGUGGCGCUGUUUCCUGGAAGUCUUGCAAGCAGACCAUCUUAACGAGGUCAACUAUGGAAGCAGAACUCACAGCAUUAGACACUGCCACUGUUGAAGCAGAGUGGCUUCGUGAACUCUUGAUGGACUUACCUAUGGUUGAAAAACCAAUACCCCCUAUCCUGAUGAACUGUGAUAAUCAAACUGUG